rnacentral:rRNA from 2 species
AAUAUAUCGGAACGUACCCUAGAGUGGGGGAUAACGUAGCGAAAGUUACGCUAAUACCGCAUACGAUCUAAGGAUGAAAGUGGGGGAUCGCAAGACCUCAUGCUCGUGGAGCGGCCGAUAUCUGAUUAGCUAGUUGGUAGGGUAAAAGCCUACCAAGGCAUCGAUCAGUAGCUGGUCUGAGAGGACGACCAGCCACACUGGAACUGAGACACGGUCCAGACUCCUACGGGAGGCAGCAGUGGGGAAUUUUGGACAAUGGGCGAAAGCCUGAUCCAGCAAUGCCGCGUGAGUGAAGAAGGCCUUCGGGUUGUAAAGCUCUUUUGUCAGGGAAGAAACGGUGAGAGCUAAUAUCUCUUGCUAAUGACGGUACCUGAAGAAUAAGCACCGGCUAACUACGUGCCAGCAGCCGCGGUAAUACGUAGGGUGCAAGCGUUAAUCGGAAUUACUGGGCGUAAAGCGUGCGCAGGCGGUUUUGUAAGUCUGAUGUGAAAUCCCCGGGCUCAACCUGGGAAUUGCAUUGGAGACUGCAAGGCUAGAAUCUGGCAGAGGGGGGUAGAAUUCCACGUGUAGCAGUGAAAUGCGUAGAUAUGUGGAGGAACACCGAUGGCGAAGGCAGCCCCCUGGGUCAAGAUUGACGCUCAUGCACGAAAGCGUGGGGAGCAAACAGGAUUAGAUACCCUGGUAGUCCACGCCCUAAACGAUGUCUACUAGUUGUCGG